rnacentral:rRNA from 1 species
AGGGAAUCUUCCGCAAUGGACGAAAGUCUGACGGAGCAACGCCGCGUGAGUGAAGAAGGUCUUCGGAUCGUAAAACUCUGUUGCCGGGGAAGAACAAGUGCCGUUCGAACAGGGCGGCGCCUUGACGGUACCCGGCCAGAAAGCCACGGCUAACUACGUGCCAGCAGCCGCGGUAAUACGUAGGUGGCAAGCGUUGUCCGGAAUUAUUGGGCGUAAAGCGCGCGCAGGCGGUUUCUUAAGUCUGAUGUGAAAUCUUGCGGCUCAACCGCAAGCGGUCAUUGGAAACUGGGAGGCUUGAGUGCAGAAGAGGAGAGUGGAAUUCCACGUGUAGCGGUGAAAUGCGUAGAGAUGUGGAGGAACACCAGUGGCGAAGGCGACUCUCUGGGCUGUAACUGACGCUGAGGCGCGAAAGCGUGGGGAGCAAAC